AUGCUCGCUUUGGCAGCCCAUGUACUAAAACUGGAUAAUACAGAGAUCAGCACGGCCCCUGCACAAGGAAGACACACAAAUUCGUGAAGCAGUCCAUAUUUUU